rnacentral:rRNA from 1 species
AACGAACGCUGGCGGCGUGGAUUAGGCAUGCAAGUCGAACGUGAUCCGGAGCUAUAGCAAUAUAAUUCCGGUGAAAGUGGCGAAAGGGUGAGUAACACGUGGGCAAUCUGCCCUCAAGUUGGGGAUAGCUCUGCGAAAGCGGAAUUAAUACCGAAUGGGGUCGUGUCGCGCAUGCGGCACUGUCCAAAGCUGGGGAUUCGAAAGGACCUGGCGCUUGAGGAUGAGCCCACGUACUAUCAGCUUGUUGGUGAGGUAACGGCUCACCAAGGCGAUGACGGUUAGCUGGUCUGAGAGGAUGGUCAGCCACACUGGGACUGAGACACUGCCCAGACACCUACGGGAGCAG